UACGCACGCUGGCGGCGUGCCUAAUACAUGCAAGUAGAACGCACAGUUUAUACCGUAGCUUGCUACACCAUAGACUGUGAGUUGCGAACGGGUGAGUAACGCGUAGGUAACCUGCCUGGUAGCGGGGGAUAACUAUUGGAAACGAUAGCUAAUACCGCAUAAUAUUGAUUAUUGCAUGAUAAUUGAUUGAAAGAUGCUAUUGCAUCACUACCAGAUGGACCUGCGUUGUAUUAGCUAGUAGGUGAGGUAACGGCUCACCUAGGCGACGAUACAUAGCCGACCUGAGAGGGUGAUCGGCCACACUGGGACUGAGACACGGCCCAGACUCCUACGGGAGGCAGCAGUAGGGAAUCUUCGGCAAUGGACGAAAGUCUGACCGAGCAACGCCGCGUGAGUGAAGAAGGUUGUCGGAUCGUAAAGCUCUGUUGUAAGAGAAGAACGGGUGUGAGAGUGGAAAGUUCACACUGUGACGGUAUCUUACCAGAAAGGGACGGCUAACUACGUG
rnacentral:rRNA from 1 species